CAUGCAGGCGGUUACAUAAGUCAGAUGUGAAAUCCCCGCGCUUAACGUGGGCAUUGCAUUUGAAACUAUGUAGCUAGAGUUCUGUAGAGGGGGGUAGAAUUCCAGGUGUAGCGGUGAAAUGCGUAGAGAUCUGGAGGAAUACCGAUUGCGAAGGCAGCCCCCUGGGACAAUACUGACGCUCAUGCACGAAAGCGUGGGGAGCAAACAGGAUUAGAUACCCCAGUA
rnacentral:rRNA from 1 species